rnacentral:rRNA from 1 species
AUACGAAGGGGGCUAGCGUUGUUCGGAUUUACUGGGCGUAAAGCGCGCGUAGGCGGAUUGGUCAGUUAGGGGUGAAAUCCCAGGGCUUAACCCUGGAACUGCCUCUAAUACUGCCAGUCUUGAGUUCGGGAGAGGUGAGUGGAAUUCCUAGUGUAGAGGUGAAAUUCGUAGAUAUUAGGAAGAACACCAGUGGCGAAGGCGGCUCACUGGCCCGAUACUGACGCUGAGGCGCGAAAGCGUGGGGAGCAAACAGGAUUAGAAACCCUUGUAGUCC